rnacentral:rRNA from 1 species
GAUGAACGCUGGCGGCGUGCCUAAUACAUGCAAGCCGAGCGAACAGACGAGGAGCUUGCUCCUCAGACGAUAACGGCGGAAGGGUGAGUAACACGUGGAUAACCUACCUAUACGACUGGGAUAACUUCGGGAAACCCGCGCUAAUACAGGACAAUAUAUUCAAACCCAUGGUUCACUACUGUAAUGCAGUUUUGCUGUUUCUUGUUGGUGAACCCUCGCCGCAUUAGCUACUUGGUAAGGUAACGCCCUACCAGCGCAACGAUGCGUAGCCGACCUGGUAGGGUGAUCGGCCACACUGGAACUGAGACGCGGUCCAGUCGCCUACGGGAGUCAGCAGUAGGGAAUCGUCCGCUAUGUGCGAAAGCCUGACGGAGCAACGCCGCGUGAGUGAUGAAGGACUUCGGAUCGUAAAACUCUGUUAUUAGGGAAGAACAAAUGUGUAAGUAACUAUGCACGUCUUGGCGGUACCUAAUCAGAAAGCCACGGCUAACUACUU